AAUUGCAAUUCCUGUGACAGGGAGUUUCCAGAUGUCACCAAGCCAGGACUGUAGAUCAUUCUGCAAAUGGGCACCUAGUGAAUUGAUUUCAUUCAACUGGCACACAAAGAAAUCCAUCAACAGCUAGGAGGCUGCAAGGAUCCUGAGGGCAACGAUUGCUUUUGUCUACAUCCCUCUAAGCAACGUGUGCUUACCAACCAUCUCAUCAUAUAAGCUACCAAGUAUGCAGUUGCCAUAUAAAGGGACCAUUCAAAACCUGACUCGGCAAGGGAGGAAUUAAACCAUCUGAAAAGGAACUAAACCUCAACCAGCUUAACUAUCGAAAAAGAACUGUAUUCAGGAAGAUAAACCUUUCUUUAAACACCCUCCUCCCCUGCACCGCCUCUUCCCCUCAAGCCUUGGGAAUCCUGAAAGCACCCAAACUGUUGUAGUUCUACUGUGUAAGAAAGGAGAAUUUAGGAAGCGUGAACAGGGGUUUUAUAGUGCCCUGCAGGAUAUCCUUGUACUCCAGCAUAGAAGAGAGCGAGGGCAUGGCUGGUGCAUGCUCCCAAAUACAGAUUCAGUGACAAAAUAUCACCCUCACCCUGGACAAAAGCCCGGCCUAAGGGGGAAUCACCCUUACUUAACGAAUGGGUUCUCUUCCUGGGCUGGUACAAAGAAGAGUCCCUGACGCCAGAGCCUGAUGGGGCAUAACCACUGGGGAGGGCUGCCAAGGUGGGGUGGAGCUCCAGGUCCGAGGCUGGUCUUACAGUGUUUUCCAGGGAGAUCAGCUUCAGUUGUUGCUCCCUGGCUUUCUGCGUCCAGGCUGUUAACUGCUUGCAGUGUUGGCACUGGGCUGUGAUGUGAGCCUGGCCCAGGUACCAGACACUGUGAGUGCCCGUCAGAAACUGGAAUGGAAAACCUGCAAAACAGGCAACAUUUAAAGCCUAGGGAAGCUGGCAUCUCAGGGAGAAAAGACCGUGAAGGCAAAAAACGGCCUCAACAAGGAAAAGAUGUAUAUAUAUAAAAUAAUAACACUAACUGUUUUAUUAGAACCAGGAACAACUAACUAACUACACUAAGAAGAAUGAACUAAGAGUCCUUUGAAGAAAAAAAGGUUGGCGAGCACUGCGGUUCCGACCAACAGUGGUGCUGGCAGAGAAGGAACUGAAGGGACAGUUGGCUGCACAUGCAUAGUAGCCACACAGCACAUGCCGUCUGCUUCAUGUGCACAGCCUACCAAAGGGCAGUGCUACCAAAAAUCUCCAACUAGGCACGCUGCGGUGCCCACACACCUAAGGUGGAGCUUCCACAGGGACACUCCUCAAAGAAGAAUAUCUAGUUACAUACACAAAUUUAGAACAAAAGUCUGAAAGAUGUGGCAGAACUCUCACUGACUUCAGUGGGACCGAAUUCUUUCCACUUUUUUAGUCUCUGCUCAGCUCUGACCCCUUUUCAUAUGUGCUCUCUCAAGAACUGUUUUAUAUGCAUUCUAAUCCCGUAUACAUGCUGUACAUUGUUAAUAAUUAGGAAAAGUCUACGUUUUCAUGCAUUUAAACAAACACAAAUGUACUACCAUUAUGUUGAACUGAAUAUUUGAAAAGUUCUUUUUCCCAAUCACUUGCUCCCCUCAAUUCAUCAUGAAGGCCUGGAGCAAUGUUGCAAAAGCUUUGAGAAGUACCCGAAAAAGACCUGCAAGAUCCAUCAGUGGGAGUACAUUUUAGUGUAGAUGCUUACAGAAUUAGAUUGAUCUGAGCUGCCUUAUGUCAAACUUAACUCUGUAGUGUAGACAAAGCCUAAUAUUUCCUCUUCCCAGAUUACUAAAAUGGAAUCUAAUCUAAUCUUUAAUAAAUGUAAAAUUACUGCAUUUUAAUGUAAUUUUUAAAUGAAAAUACAAUCAAGCUGAAUCAUAAUGGGAAAACAAUGGUUUUCUCUUUUGAAAACAUUCAAAUUAUAUUAAACUAGCAGAUUUACCCAUCAUAGCUCAUGUCCAUAAUUCAGGAAUUCCAUCAAGCAUGUUUUGUUUCUUCAUCCCUAUAAACUCUUAUCAUUUGCCAUGUUUUGAUUUAAAAAAGGCUAUAAUCAAUUUGGCUUCCAAUAAUAUUUUCUUCCAGUUUUCAAACCUUAAGCAUUGGUUUUUCCA